GAUGAACGCUGGCGGCGUGCCUAAUACAUGCAAGUCGAGCGAAUGGAUUAAGAGCUUGCUCUUAUGAAGUUAGCGGCGGACGGGUGAGUAACACGUGGGUAACCUGCCCAUAAGACUGGGAUAACUCCGGGAAACCGGGGCUAAUACCGGAUAACAUUUUGAACCGCAUGGUUCGAAAUUGAAAGGCGGCUUCGGCUGUCACUUAUGGAUGGACCCGCGUCGCAUUAGCUAGUUGGUGAGGUAACGGCUCACCGAGGCAACGAUGCGUAGCCGACCUGGGAGGGGGAGCGGCCACACUGGGACUGAGACACGGCCCAGACUCCUACGGGAGGCAGCAGUAGGGAAUCUUCCGCAAUGGACGAAAGUCUGACGGAGCAACGCCGCGUGAGUGAUGAAGGCUUUCGGGUCGUAAAACUCUGUUGUUAGGGAAGAACAAGUGCUAGUUGAAUAAGCUGGCACCUUGACGGUACCUAACCAGAAAGCCACGGCUAACUACGUGCCAGCCGCCGCAGUAA
rnacentral:rRNA from 1 species